rnacentral:rRNA from 1 species
GACGAACGCUGGCGGCGUGCCUAAUACAUGCAAGUCGAACGCUGAAGAGAGGAGCUUGCUCUUCUUGGAUGAGUUGCGAACGGGUGAGUAACGCGUAGGUAACCUGCCUUGUAGCGGGGGAUAACUAUUGGAAACGAUAGCUAAUACCGCAUGACAAUGGAUGACACAUGUCAUUUAUUUGAAAGGGGCAAUUGCUCCACUACAAGAUGGACCUGCGUUGUAUUAGCUAGUAGGUGAGGUAAUGGCUCACCUAGGCGACGAUACAUAGCCGACCUGAGAGGGUGAUCGGCCACACUGGGACUGAGACACGGCCCAGACUCCUACGGGAGGCAGCAGUAGGGAAUCUUCGGCAAUGGGGGCAACCCUGACCGAGCAACGCCGCGUGAGUGAAGAAGGUUUUCGGAUCGUAAAGCUCUGUUGUAAGUCAAGAACGGGUGUGAGAGUGGAAAGUUCACACUGUGACGGUAGCUUACCAGAAAGGGACGGCUAACUACGUG